rnacentral:rRNA from 1 species
UACGGAGGGUGCGAGCGUUGUCCGGAUUUAUUGGGUUUAAAGGGUGCGUAGGCGGCCAAAUAAGUCUGGGGUGAAAGCCCGCUGCUCAACAGCGGAACUGCCCUGGAUACUGUAUGGCUUGAGGACAGACGAGGUUGGCGGAAUAGAGGGUGUAGCGGUGAAAUGCAUAGAUACCCUCUAGAACCCCGAUUGCGAAGGCAGCUGACUAGACUGUAUCUGACGCUGAGGCACGAAAGCGUGGGGGAGCGAACAGG